GUGCUUGCUUUGGCAGCAUGUGUACUAAAACUGGAAAGAUACAGAGAAGAUUAACGUGGCCCCUGCACAAGGAUGACGUGCAAAUUCAUGAAGCAUUCCAUUAUUAA